UUCAGCUUGUUCUUUGAGCUUGGACAGUUUGUUUGCAGAAGCACUAAGCAUUAUUAACUCUUGCACUUCUUCCCUUGUUAUUCUUCCAUCUUCAUUGCUAUCAACCAUGUCGAAGAAAAUUUGAAGGCGCGCGUCAAAGCUCUGGUCUGUAAUCUGUAACCAGAACUCAUGAAGCUCCUCCUUCGAGAUCUUCGAUAUCCUUCGUCUUUUCCUCCUCG
rnacentral:misc_RNA from 1 species